UCAGUAUUUGCUAGUUCUUCUUCUUACAGAUAUACUCACAGGCUCUACUGCAGAUAUAUUUAAAAAUCCGGGAUGUUCAAGACAUAAUGUUGAUAAUAUGCAAGGUAAAGAAACCAUACAGCCAGUGUUGGUAAAUCGUGGAGAAAAUUUGAUUUUGAAUUGCACUUGCUUUAAUGAGUGUAAUGGCCAAUUGAGCGGCCCAAAUAUGAUAUUAGCACCCAAUGCUGGUGCUUUUAUACCAUACACACAGGGAAUGGAUUUGAAUCCAAGACUACAUAAAUCAAAAUAUAGGAUUUUUGGUGGAUACGAUACUCACAGUUGCAAUUUACAGAUUACGAACUUCUUGUCAGAUGACGAUGGUGUAUACAAGUGUGAGUAUGUGCACUCAUCAACAGUUUACACAGAUUUUUACAACGUAAGUGCGA